rnacentral:rRNA from 1 species
GACGAACGCUGGCGGCGUGCUUAACACAUGCAAGUCGAACGGAAAGGCCCUGCUUUUGUGGGGUGCUCGAGUGGCGAACGGGUGAGUAACACGUGAGUAACCUGCCCUUGACUUUGGGAUAACUUCGGGAAACUGGGGCUAAUACCGGAUAUGAGCUCCUGCUGCAUGGUGGGGGUUGGAAAGUUUCGGCGGUUGGGGAUGGACUCGCGGCUUAUCAGCUUGUUGGUGGGGUAGUGGCUUACCAAGGCUUUGACGGGUAGCCGGCCUGAGAGGGUGACCGGCCACAUUGGGACUGAGAUACGGCCCAGACUCCUACGGGAGGCAGCAGUGGGGAAUAUUGCACAAUGGGCGGAAGCCUGAUGCAGCAACGCCGCGUGCGGGAUGACGGCCUUCGGGUUGUAAACCGCUUUCGCCUGUGACGAAGCGUGAGUGACGGUAAUGGGUAAAGAAGCACCGGCUAACUACGUG